AUGUUUACCCAUGAUACUGGCUUGGAGUUUGUGGGAGUUGAUAAAGGAGAAGAAAAUUGUGUAACUAAGGAUAAUCCGAAUGCAUCUUCAAAGCAGAUUGUGCCAAAGAAGGGAAUGAGUUUUGAUUCUGAAGAAGAGGCAUACAAGUUCUAUAACGUGUAUGCCAAAAGUAAAGGAUUUAGUGUCAGAUGGACACAUAGAAAAGCAAGAGCAGAUGAUACCUUAUCUGCUAGGUAUUUAGUUUGCAGUAAGGAAGGAGUAAAGGGUAAACAUAGCACACAUGAGACGAGGAAAGAACGGGCUUCUACGAGGACAUCUUGCAAAGCUCGUGUUCAGUUCCAUAUUACUCCGGCGGGUGUUUGGUUGAUUCAGAAGGCUGUCAAUGAGCACAAUCAUCACAUGGGGUCAUCGAAUCCGAAUGCUUGUUUUCAAAAUAUAGCUCCAUCAUUGGCGACAUCCAUGUCAUUUGGUGAUUAUUCUGCUUUCUAUGCUCCACCACGUAUUCCAGGGGAAUUUACAAGUUUGUUGCUUCAAGCUGAUGAACAAAACCCAACACUGUCUACCGUUCGGCGAUUGGAUUUCAACGAAGGUACAAGUACAAGCAGGUUUCAGUGGUGA
rnacentral:rRNA from 1 species